rnacentral:rRNA from 1 species
GACGAACGCUGGCGGCGUGCUUAACACAUGCAAGUCGAACGAAGUGGCGAACGGGUGAGUAAUACGUGGGUAACCUGCCCUCCUUUUUGGGAUAAGCCUUGGAAACGGGGUCUAAUACCCAAUAUAGGGGGUUGGGCUCGCGGCCUAUCUGCUUGUUGGUGGGGUGAUGGCCUACCAAGGCGGUGACGGGUAGCCGGGAUGAGAGGGUGAACGGCAACAUUGGGACGGGCAUGAGUCCCAGAGGAGGACGGGGGGGGGCAGAGGGGGAAAUGGGACAAUGGGUGAUGGACUGAUGCAGCGUCGCCGAGGGGGGGAUGAGGGUUGUCGAGUUGUAAAAGUGUUGCGCUAGGGAACGGGUAGGUGGAGAAGAAGCGCCGGCUAACUACGUGCCAGCAGCCGCGGUAAUUC